rnacentral:rRNA from 1 species
GACAGAGGGUGCAAACGUUUGUUCGGAAUUACUGGGCGUAAAGCGCGUGUAGGCUGCUUCGCAAGUCGGAUGUGAAAGCCCUGGGCUCAACCCAGGAAGUGCAUUCGAAACUGCAGAGCUGGAGUCCUGGAGAGGAAGGCGGAAUUCUCGGUGUAGAGGUGAAAUUCGUAGAUAUCGAGAGGAACACCGGUGGCGAAGGCGGCCUUCUGGGACAGUGACUGACGCUGAGACGCGAAAGCGUGGGGGAGCAAACAGG